ACGAACGCUGGCGGCAGGCCUAACACAUGCAAGUCGAACGCACCUUCGGGUGAGUGGCGCACGGGUGAGUAACACGUGGGAAUCUACCCAGCAGUACGGAAUAACGUCGGGAAACUGACGCUAAUACCGAAUACGCCCUUCGGGGGAAAGAUUUAUCGCUGUUGGAUGAGCCCGCGUCCGAUUAGGUAGUUGGUGAGGUAACGGCUCACCAAGCCUUCGAUCGGUAGCUGGUCUGAGAGGAUGAUCAGCCACACUGGGACUGAGACACGGCCCAGACUCCUACGGGAGGCAGCAGUGGGGAAUAUUGGACAAUGGGCGCAAGCCUGAUCCAGCCAUGCCGCGUGAGUGAUGAAGGCCUUCGGGUUGUAAAGCUCUUUUAGCAGGGACGAUGAUGACGGUACCUGCAGAAUAAGCCACGGCUAACUACGU
rnacentral:rRNA from 1 species